CGCUGCAGCCGCCGACGCGUCGGUAGCCCCGGCGGCCGCGGGCUCCGACUCGGUCUUGGGCUCCUCGGUGGGCUUGGAGUCCUGCUUCUGAUCCACGGCGUUCUGCUGCUGAACAGGUGCGUCUUCUCCAGACAUGUUUGCAAAGAAGCUUUGGAAGCAACCACUCAAAAACAAAAACGGCAAAGUGUGCUGAGCGGUGGAGAGCAGUGGUGGCCGUCAACGCCGGGCUCAGGCAGUGAGAUGGCGAGGAGGAGACACCUUGUGGCUGCAAAGUGCCACUCAGCCCUUCUUGCAGAAGCCAAAGUCAGCAGUCACAAUCCAUAUCCCGCAAAGGCUUUGAGCUGUGCCGGUAUCAGGAUGAUUGAUUGAUUGUUUGUUGGUCGCUGUCAAGCAUGUUGUUACACUGUUCAUGUCUGUCUUUUUUCCCGCUAAUAGUUAUGCAUCAUGGGUGACCACAGCACGAAGCAUUCCUGGAAUCAUCACAGAGUGGAUUGGAAGAGGAACAAACAUGGAAUAGUCUCGUGUAGUGAGUCGGAAAAGGCCAGAAAAUGCUCCAAAAAGUCUCGAAAACAAGUCUGUGGCUGAAGAAAGACACGAGCACAAAGUUUGGAACCCCAGACACCUGAUGCCGUCUUCCAUCUAAGGCAUUGAGGUGGGGCUCAAUGGCGAGCACCCAGUGGCCGGGUUCCCACCCACGGGGCCCGGCUUAGCGCAGCCCGAAGAGACGACGUGGGUCCUCCUUCCCUUGGGGUCACCACCUGUGGGAGGGGCCAAGGGGGGUCGGGCGAAUAGUGAAAUGGGUGGCGCCCAAAAGCGGGGAUGUUAGCAGUCCAAUCCCUCGCUACAGAAGCUGGUUAUAUUGGUUAAGAUCUUAAAAAUGGCUAUUUGUGUACCCUGCUUAAGAACGCUAUGCCUACCUGCUUAAAGGUGCAGCAGAUAGCUGCACCUAACGCCCAUUGUAACGCCCAUUGUUUUCUUUGUAAUUAUUGUCAUGUAUAUUAUUUUUGUGUAUAUCUUUAUAUUAAAUAAUUUGGUUAUUUUG